CGGGGUGCAGCAGGCGCGAAAACUCUACAAUGCAGGCAACUGCGAUAGGGGGACAUCGAGUGGCAUCCACCUUGGGUGCCUGUCCCACCGUCUAAAAAACGGUGGUUAGCAAGGGCCGGGCAAGACCGGUGCCAGCCGCCGCGGUAAUACCGGCGGCUCGAGUGGUGGCCGAUAUUAUUGAGUCUAAAGGGUCCGUAGCCGGCUUUGCAAGUCCCCUGGGAAAUCCAGCGGCUUAACCGUUGGGCUUUCAUGGGAUACUACAUUGCUUGGGACUGGGAGAGGUAGGAGGUACUCGGGGGGUAGGGGUGAAAUCCUGUAAUCCCCCGGGGACCACCGGUGGCGAAGGCGUCCUACCAGAACAGGUCCGACGGUGAGGGACGAAAGCUAGGGGCACGAACCGGAUUAGAUACCCGGGUAGUCCUAGCCGUAAACGAUGCCCGCUAGGUGUCACGGCGGUCGUGAAUCGCCGUGGUGCCGUAGGGAAGCCGCGAAGCGGGCCACUUGGGAAGUACGGCCGCAAGGCUGAAACUUAAAGGAAUUGGCGGGGGAGCAC
rnacentral:rRNA from 1 species